UGGGGAAUCAUGGUCAAUGGGCGAAAGCCUGAACCUGCGACGCCGCGUGAGUGAUGAAGGUCGUAAGAUCGUAAAACUCUUUUCAGGGAUCUUAAAGCCUGUCUGUCAACAACAGGCAGGUCUGACUCUCCCUGGAAGAAGCCCCAGCCAACUACGUGCCAGCAGCUGCGGUAAUACGUAGGGGGCGAGCGUUAUUCGGAAUUACGGGGUGUAAAGGGUAUGUAGGCGGCCCUUCAAGUCGCGUGUCAAAGUCCAGUGCUCAACGCUGGGUGGGCACGCGAUACUGACGUGCUUGGGGGCUGGAGAGGUGAGCGGAAUUCCCGGUGUAGUGGUGAAAUACGUAGAGAUCGGGAGGAACACCAGCGGCGCAGGCGGCUCACUAGACAGUUUCUGACGCUAAGAUACGAAAGCGUGGGGAGCAAACA
rnacentral:rRNA from 1 species